rnacentral:rRNA from 1 species
GACGAACGCUGGCGGCGUGCCUAAUACAUGCAAGUUGAGCGCUGAAGGUUGGUACUUGUACCAACUGGAUGAGCAGCGAACGGGUGAGUAACGCGUGGGGAAUCUGCCUUUGAGCGGGGGACAACAUUUGGAAACGAAUGCUAAUACCGCAUAAAAACUUUAAACACAAGUUUUAAGUUUGAAAGAUGCAAUUGCAUCACUCAAAGAUGAUCCCGCGUUGUAUUAGCUAGUUGGUGAGGUAAAGGCUCACCAAGGCGAUGAUACAUAGCCGACCUGAGAGGGUGAUCGGCCACAUUGGGACUGAGACACGGCCCAAACUCCUACGGGAGGCAGCAGUAGGGAAUCUUCGGCAAUGGACGAAAGUCUGACCGAGCAACGCCGCGUGAGUGAAGAAGGUUUUCGGAUCGUGAAACUCUGUUGGUAGAGAAGAAACGUUGGUGAGAAGUGGAAAAGCUCAUUC